GGCAGUCUGGCCGAGUGGUCUAAGGCGGUAGCUUCAGGACUAUCAAUUGAUGGGCUCUAUGCUAUUCUCCAUCCGGAGGCGGGCGUUCGAAUCGCCCGGCUGUCA
rnacentral:tRNA from 1 species